GAUAAACGCUGGCGGCGUGCUUUAUGCAUGCAAGUCGAACGGUCCCGAUUUAUCGGGACAGUGGCGAACGGGUGAGUAACGCGUAAGUAACUUGCCCCCAAGUAGAGGAUAACUCUGAGAAAUUGGAGCUAAUACUGUAUGUGGUGUGGGUAAUGCCUUAUCACUAAAGCCUUCGGGCGCUUGGGGAGAGGCUUGCGUCCGAUUAGCUAGUUGGUAGAGUAAUAGCCUACCAAGGUGACGAUCGGUAGCUGGUUUGAGAGGAUGACCAGCCACAUUGGGACUGAGACACGGCCCAGACUCCUGCGGGAGGCAGCAGCAAGGAAUUUUGGGCAAUGGGCGAAAGCCUGACCCAGCGACGCCGCGUGGGGGAUGAAGGCCUUCGGGUUGUAAACCCCUUUUCUCAGGGAAGAAUAAUGACGGUACCUGAGGAAUAAGUCUCGGCUAACUACGUG
rnacentral:rRNA from 1 species